ensembl:lncRNA
UACAGUUCAAGCUGCAGAUCAAAACAUUAAAGUAAUCUCUAAAGUAAUGUUAACAACAGACUUGGCGAAAAAAACUAAAAAAAAUAAAAAUAAUAAAAAAACUUUACUCUUCUAGGUUGUCCUCCAAACCGACGUUACGGCUUUGGCUGAGUGUUUUUUUUUUUUUUUUUUUUUUUUUUGCUUAAAAAAAUAAAAAUAAAUAAAAAAUCCACAAGUGUGUUAUUUCAUUGCGGCCAUAAUGAACAGCUUUUAAAUAAAUAGGGAAGCUAUGUCUACACGUAGAGUUUAAAGUACGUUCAUAAACUGAAGUGAAAUCAUUAUCGCGCAAACUGAGGGAAAAAAAGACAUUUGUAAAUGCCAUUAACCUCUCUGUUCCAAUACGUGCACAAGUGAUAAUAUAUAGAUGGGACUGUCAUUAAAACAGUUACGUGCUCCUUGUGGAUUCAUUUGCGCUGACCCAGAAUGCAGUAUUUUCUUAACACUAGCAGCAGGCCGCUUUGAUGUUAUCUGCCUGUCUAAACAGCCUGACUGGCGCUCGUGGAGAGCAGCGCCUUCCCCUGAUCUGCCGCGGUGUACGGAGGAGCCAUAUUAAUCAUCCUGAAGUCUGCGAGAGCGCCGUCAUAAAUCGCGCGGCACGGUCCUUAACUCAGAGAGUCCCUGGACGGCCUCUCCUCGUUCAUCAACACGCUCCGACUCCGGAUGCAGGGGCAGGGGCUACAUUGCCCUGAGCAACCCACAAGAACAGCUCAUCAACACUCCGAGUCCUUUCAUGUUUGUACCUCCAGCUCCUAAAAUGGCCGUGGUUAGGAAUGGCUCAUCGGUGCAGUGUGUGAGUGAUGGCUCUCUCAAGGGCCAAGACAAUAGCUGUAGUCAGGUUACACUCUUGGACACGUCCCCAGCACACACACUUGUGCCUGUAUGUGGCGUUCUUCACACACAUAUGCGUUGACACAUGCCCCCAAUACAUCAUUUACAGCAGUGUCAAAAAUUACAGCUGCUCACUUUCAGCAUGAGAAAUCAUUUUAGACACAAUUGUAUGGGAGCCCCCCCCCCCACCCCACCAAAAAAAAUAAAAAAAUCACACAAUUCUUACUUUUUUUUUUUCACAAAAAAUCUGAGUUUGUAUCUCACAAUUUGUACUCCACAGGAUUAAUAUAAUUUGUUUUUAUAAAUUUGAAAUUAUGAGAACUGUGUUAGAACUGUGAGAUAAUCUUGUCAUUACAAAUUAUCUUUUUUAUUAAUAUUAAAACACAUGUUUCUUGUGAGUUUCUAUCUAAGACAUUUUUUGUCUCAGUAAGAAAUGUGUUUUUUGUUUUUGCAUCAGAAUAAAAUAAAAAAGAAGAAAAGUAAUUGCAACUUUAUAUCUCACAAUUCUGAUCAAAUUUUAAAUUUUCUUAGAAUUGUGAGAUAUAAAUUCUGAAGUGCAAUUUUAUAACUUGCAAUUCUGAGAAAAAUUCUUAUUAUGAGUUUUUUGCUCACAAUUGCAAGGCAUAAACAAUAUAAAGUUUGAUAAAAGAACGUUAAGAUAUAACACAACUGCAAGAAAAUUGUGUUUUGUAAUUCUGCUUCAUAAAAACAUAAAAGGUACAGUAUUGGCUUUUUAUUAUACAAUUUAAACUUUAGAGUUAAUGUACUGUACAAUUCUGAAAGAAAAAAAACUGUGAAUUGUGGGAUAUAAUAUCAAAAUUGCGUGAAAAAAAAAGUCUGAAUUGUGAGUUAUUUUUUAUUUUUAUUUUUAUUUUUUACAUGGCAGAAACAUAAAACAGUUAAAUUGCAAGACCACAUCUCACAAAUCUGACUGUUCUCCUCAAAUUGUGGAUUUUUAUCUUGCAGUUCUGAAGUUCUAAGUAACUUAGAAUUGCAAGAAGAAAAAAUUAAAUGUGAGAGAAAUAUUUUAUUUAGUGGCAAAAAAAUCAUAAAACACAAUUAUGACUUUAUUUCUUGCAAUUGCACAUUUGUAUCUCAGCAUUCAGAGUUUCAGAACUGCAAAGUUUAUAUCUAUCUUUGCUUUUAUAUCUCACCAUUCAGAAUUACAAGAAAAAGCACUAAACUGUGAGAUUUAAAGUCACAAUUACUUUUUAUUUAUUUUUAUUCUGUGGCAGAAAUAAGAUUCAAUAUCAUCAUCAUCAUCAUUAUUAUAGAAGUUUAUUGUAUCAUCUCUCUAGUAUUCUGAGAACUCCUAACCAAAGGUAAAACCACAUAUUUGAAGAGAAUUAAACAUAUGUUGAAAAACGGAGCCACCACCCUCUAAUUCACAGGCCUACGCACAAGAGUAUAAACAACACAUAAGUGGUUUCCCAGGCUCUUGAUGAGGACUGGAUGAGGAUCUCAAGGUUAUAACACUGGUUCCCUGUGUGGGGCAGGACAGGGGGACAGAAAGUCCAUCAUCGGAACCACACUGGACUUGUCCUCGCUCUGGCAACCCAACAAAGCCUUCAAAAGACAGAUGACAUGCACACAAAGAAAACACAGGUGGCUAUAGACCACCUGGAGAAAAAGAGAGAUGGAGAGAGAGAAAUAGGUGGCUCCCCUUUGAACUUUCCCACCCCCAACAGUCUUCCGGUCAGAACACUUUGACCAAUAUAUCUAUGAUCAUCUACAGUGAUCAGUUGUUUUGUGACCUAACUGGCUUUGGGGGGAAAUUAAAUAUAAUAAUAAUAAUAGAAAAAAAAGCAGUAAUCAAAGAAAAAUGUGGCUACUUAGAAAGAACCUAGAAU